CCUACGGGGCGCAGCAGUGAGGAAUAUUGGUCAAUGGACGAGAGUCUGAACCAGCCAAGUAGCGUGAAGGAUGACUGCCCUAUGGGUUGUAAACUUCUUUUAUAUGGGAAUAAAAUGUUCCACGUGUGGGAUUUUGUAUGUACCAUAUGAAUAAGGAUCGGCUAACUCCGUGCCAGCAGCCGCGGUAAUACGGAGGAUCCGAGCGUUAUCCGGAUUUAUUGGGUUUAACGGGAGCGUAGGUGGAUUUUUAAGUUAGUUGUGAAAGUUUGCGGCUCAACCGUAAAAUUGCAGUUGAAACUGGCAGUCUUGAGUACAGUAGAGGUGGGCGGAAUUCGUGGUGUAGCGGUGAAAUGCUUAGAUAUCACGAAGAACUCCGAUUGCGAAGGCAGUUCACUGGACUGCAACUGACACUGAGGCUCGAAAGUGUGGGUAUCAAACAGGAUUAGAUACCCCUGUAGUC
rnacentral:rRNA from 1 species